GGGAAGGGGACGCCACGCUCCUUCUGCGCAUGUGCAGCCGUAGCCUCCUCGUUCGUCUUCUCAGGACCCCAGAGAACCGUUGGGGAACUUUGGGGUGUGCUCGGAAAAUGCAGGGUGCGCACCUAGGGCGAGGGACUAGCUGGGAAGGGUGUGCCUGUGCUUGGGGAUGGGAGCAGGAAGUGUCUGGGACCCCGUCCCCCUCCCGCGGCGGUGUAUAAACCCGGGCGGGCCGUCAGAGCGGAGCUUCACAGCAGAGACAAGAGCCCAGAAAGGAGCAGAUGCUAGAUUUGCAAGAUCAGAAGCAGGUCUUGAUCCCCCUGCCCAGGAUGAACCAGACUUGAUGAUGCCACCUUCAGGAGCCACCACACUGUGUGACAGUGGGGCAUUUGGGUCGUCCCUGGGAAGAACAGAUGCGCUGCUGUCACACAUGUCCACCACCACAUGUGACAUUAGUGACGUUAUCCUGAUGUCACAGGAUCCAAGAAUGAUGAUCUGUGAAGAGUUUUCCAAGGUCACCUACUUCUAACUCUUUUGAAAGAUUUAAAGACAUUGGGCCUGAAAAUUUCUGUGACUUGUCCAGGGAAACGCAGUUUGUGACAGUUCACUCUCUCACAGCUGAACCACAGUCCUCUGUACUCGCCCAGGAGCCACAGAGAGUGAACAUCCCUCAGUGUUGCUCACUGAAGUCAGUCUGGCCACUUAUUGACUGAUUGUAACCAAAUGAUGCGAAGAGGCUGGAGAAAGAAAUUACAGGAACAUUCUUGGAUCACUCACAGCUGUAGUGACAGACGGAAGAACUGGAUCACACUAGCAAUUUUAUGCUAGUAAAUCAUGCAUAGAUGGUACCUUUUUAUAUUUAUUUACUCAUUUAAAUGCAGAAAAGGAAAGAAAUUGCUUAUUGUAUCUUCCAAUUGUCUAUUCACUUGAGAAGUUCUUGCAGUACUUUUUCUGUUGUGUUUUCUUAGCUUCUCUUGGGUUUCUUAGCUUCUCUCUGACCUCAGGGACAGGGGGCCAAAUUCUCAGACAGCUCCUUCUUUCUUUGAAUGUCCCAAUUUGAAUAAAGUUAUUUUAUGUCUCCAGUCAACAGGUCUUGCCUGUGUACUAUUUGGGCCAUUUCAGGCACAGAAACACAUAACUAUACAUAUGUAUAUUUGUGUGUAUAUAUAUCACAGCCAUUAAGAUUGUGAGCCCUGUAACUAGAAUGCUUCAGUUCUAAUUCUGGCUUUAUCAUUUACUAGCUGUGACUUUGUCAGUGGAUACAGAGAAACCACUUGACAAAAUUCAGCAUUAACUCAUGAUAAAAACUAUCAACACUAUGGGAAUAGAAUGGAACUUCCUUAGUUUGGUAAAAGGCUUCUUCAAAAAAACAGUGCCUAGGGGCCAGUGCUGUGGUGCAGUGGUUAAGUUCAUGUGCUCUGCUUCAUUGGCCCGGGGUUCACCAGUUUGGAUCCCAGGGACAGACCUAUGCAUCGCUCAUCAAGUCAUGCUGUGGCAGGCAUCCCACAGAUAAAAUAGUGGAAGACUGGUACAGAUGCUAGGUCAUGGCCAAUCUUCCUCAGCAAAAAGAGGAGAAUCGAUGGUGGAUGUUAGCUCCGGGCUGGUCUUCCUCAAAAAUAAAUAAAUAAAUAAAGUCAUAAUUUGAACUUUUGCAAAAUUAAAACAUUUACAGUCAUGCACCACGUAACAACAUUUCAGUCAAUGAUGGACUGUAUAUACAACAGUGGCCCCAUGAGAUUAGUAUCAUAUAGCCUAGAGGUGUAGUAGGCUAUACCAUCUGGGUUUGUGAAGUGCGCCCUGUGAUGUUCACACAAGGAUGAAAUUGCCGAAGGACGCAUUUCUCAGAACGUAUCCUAACCAUUAGACGAUGUGUGACCGUAUUAUACUAUUUCUUAUCUUUCAUAUCUCUAACAAGUAAGAGAUUGAUAAUGUCCAGUGAAAAAGCUAUGAAGAGGCAGGGAUAAGCCAACACUUUUCAUGAUGAAACAGCUCUGAAUUCAACAGGAACCCCACUGGAAUGGGACUGAAACUGUGGGCAUUUUUUGAAAUUAUAAAUCACUCCUAUUACUCUUGGGUUGUACUUCUCAUUGAUCAUUUCUAUACCUGUGGUUCUCAUCACAAUUCACCAUCUGGUCUCCACUGUUCUUGUGGGUGAUUAAAGAAAAGGUCUGUGACCACACUGAAACAAAGCAGCAAAGAGAACAGUGACAGUCUGAGGGAAGAUGCAUGUCCCGCAACGUCAGGAGGCAAGUGUGUUGAAAAGAGCAGAGGCCUGUGGAGAGAGUGGGCAGCACCAUUUGGAGCUGAAGACUCCGUACAGGACCAGUUUGUGAGAGACGAGAGCAUCUUCCUAAUGAAUCUGAUAUAUACUUAAAUAGGUAUCGUGGGAAGAAAUAAAUGAGUAGCAAAACGAGAUUCCCCACAGUGAAGCAGGAUGAAAACCUGAAUGAUUUUAUUUGUUAUGUUAACAUAAACAUAGUUUUAUAUUAAAAUUAUUGAAGGGAUAAUUAUUUUACAGUAGUUCAUUUUAAAAUUAUAGUUCAAAUGCAAAAAAAAAUAAAUUCCAUGACCGGAGCACAAACAAUAGAGUUGAAAAUAUCUUUCUAAAUUAAUUUCCUAUUUGGUGAGAAGAGAAAUGGCAAAAAAUGUAUGUGUCAAAUGCCACGAAAUGGGAAAAGAUUUUCAAUGAAUAAGGGAUGACAUUACACUUUGUGUCAAAGCCAAUUUGUUAGUUUCACCACUGUCAGGGGUUUGUGAACUCAGGGAUCUAGAUAAAGUGCCCCACAUUAAUCCCAGAAGAAGGACAGGAGGCUGCUGAUCAAUGGGGGCUUGCCUGAACUUGCUUAGAUGCACAGAACUGUGAACUCAAUGGGGCGUCAUAUCCUGAGUGUGUGUUUUCACAGGCUACACUUGACCAGUUUCCUUGCUUGGACUUUCUGACAAAUCAAAUACUUGGAUCACAUCUUCUAUCAGCAGCUGUAGUGAGCUUUUUGAAAAUAACUUGGAAGUGUUCCCCUAUAGAUGUGCCCCUAUAUAUUCAGCAGGAUAACUACUAUGAAAACUGAUCUUUGGUUGC
rnacentral:lncRNA from 1 species